rnacentral:rRNA from 1 species
UACGUAGGGGGCUAGCGUUGUCCGGAAUCAUUGGGCGUAAAGCGCGUGUAGGCGGUUCGGUAAGUCUGCUGUGAAAGUCGGGGGCUCAACCCUCGGAUGCCGGUGGAUACUGCCGGGCUAGAGUACGGAAGAGGCGAGUGGAAUUCCUGGUGUAGCGGUGAAAUGCGCAGAUAUCAGGAGGAACACCAAUUGCGAAGGCAGCUCGCUGGGACGUUACUGACGCUGAGGAGCGAAAGCGUGGGGAGCGAACAGG